UUAGUAAAGUAAGCUAAAAAAGCUUUUGGGCUCAUACUCCAAAAAUGGUAGAUUAAAACCUCCCUCUACUUAU
rnacentral:tRNA from 1 species